UACCAGCACCCCGAGUGGUCGGGACGAUUAUUGGGCCUAAAGCAUCCGUAGCCGGCCUUACAAGUCCUCCGUUAAAUCCAGCUGCUUAACAGAUGGGCUGCGGAGGAUACUAUAAGACUAGGAGGCAGGAGAGGCAAGCGGUACUCAGUGGGUAGGGGUAAAAUCCGUUGAUCCAUUGAAGACCACCAGUGGCGAAGGCGGCUUGCCAGAAUGCGCUCGACGGCGAGGGAUGAAAGCUGGGGGAGCAAACCGGG
rnacentral:rRNA from 1 species